rnacentral:rRNA from 1 species
AGUCAUCCCUGACCCCUUGAGGGUCCUAAAGGGCCGUUGGAGACCACAACGUUGAUAGGUGGGGUGUGUAAGCGUAGUGAUACGUUGAGCUAACCCAUACUAAUUACCCGUGAGGCUUAACCAU